GUCCCAUGGGGACAUCCAAUAAAAUUGGAAUAAUACAUAGGAGAUUAGCAUGGCCGCUGUGCAAUAAUGACGCCCACAAAUUGAGAAAAAAUAUUGAAAAAA